rnacentral:lncRNA from 1 species
CCGCCGGUGAAUCGGGGCCGUAGAAGAGAAGCUUGGGAAACAAGCAGCCAUCGAUCAUCAUCCAUGUCCACGACUAGUGAAGGUGCAUCAAGUGAAAACUUUACAACCAUGAGUAGAGAAUUUAACGCUUUGGUUCUUGCAGGUUCAGCUAUAGAAACCAACGAGAGUGAUCAUGUUAUGAAUAAUAUUAACGGUACUAGUAAUACUGCUCAUUUGGCUAGGAUUGGUGAAGAUGAGAUACCUGAAGAGACUAACCCUUUGGCUAUUGUACCGGACCAUAAUCCGUUAGAUUUGGGUCCGGGGUCGAGACGGGUUGGUUCGAGUGUUGGUCAAAGUGAUCACGUUUCAUCAGUGCAAAGAGUGAAGAAAGAAGAA